rnacentral:rRNA from 1 species
CGCCUCUUGAUCAAACAUAAGAGGUCCAGCCUGCCCAGUGAUUCACUUAAACGGCCGCGGUAUAAUAACCGUGCAAAGGUAGCAUAAUCAUUUGUUCUUUAAAUAGGGACUCGUAUCAACGGCACCACGAGGGUUAUACUGUCUCCCCCUUCUAAUCAGUGAAACUGACCUCCCCGUGAAGAGGCGGGGAUUAUAUUACAAGACGAGAAGACCCCAUGGAGCUUUAAACCCAAUAAUAAUUUUUAACUAAAUAACCUACAAAAAACUAUAAAAAUUCUAUCUAUUGGUUUUAGGUUGGGGCGACCGCGGAGUAAAACAAAACCUCCUUGACGAACAGGUCUCAUCCUAAUCCAAGAGCCACUGCUCUAAGAAUCAAAAAUUUGACGUAACAUGAUCCGGUAACCGAUCAACGAACCAAGUUACCCUGGGGAUAACAGCGCAAUCCAUUUCAAGAGCUCCUAUCGACAAAUGGGUUUACGACCUCGAUGUUGGAUCAGGGUAUCCAAGUGGUGCAGCCGCUACUAAAGGUUUGUUUGUUCAACAAUUAAUACCC